rnacentral:tRNA from 1 species
AUUCCUUCAGUUUCUG